ACCAGACUCCUACGGGAGGCAGCAGUGGGGGAUAUUGCACAAUGGGGGGAACCCUGAUGCAGCGACGCCGCGUGAGCGAUGAAGUAUUUCGGUAUGUAAAGCUCUAUCAGCAGGGAAGAAAAUGACGGUACCUGACUAAGAAGCCCCGGCUAACUACGUGCCAGCAGCCGCGGUAAUACGUAGGGGGCAAGCGUUAUCCGGAUUUACUGGGUGUAAAGGGAGCGUAGACGGCUGUGCAAGUCUGAAGUGAAAGGCAAGGGCUCAACCUUUGGACUGCUUUGGAAACUGUGCAGCUAGAGUGUCGGAGAGGCAGGCGGAAUUCCUGGUGUAGCGGUGAAAUGCGUAGAUAUCAGGAGGAACACCGGUGGCGAAGGCGGCCUGCUGGACUGCAACUGACGUUGAGGCCCGAAAGCGUGGGGAGCAAACAGGAUUAGAUACCCCAGUAUC
rnacentral:rRNA from 1 species